ACAAAUUAAAAGGGGAUGCAAGGGAUUUUCUAAAUGCUAAAAGAGCUGGAAUAGGAGCAAUGGAGGAUGUUGUUGCUCCAAUUGUUUCUGCUACAAAUGUUGGUAUAGUAAAGGAUGCUAUAAAAAAGACUGCUGAAUUGAAGCCUACACAACUUAAUGUGAAUGGGAGAGAUGAUGCUGAUCAACAUGAAGUGGCUAGGAAUCCUGAUCUUACUGGAGUAUCAAAUGCACCUCAGGAAGAAGCUCCAAUUUAUUCUAGGGAGGAGCCUACUGCAGACACUAUGUCUUCUAGUGCAAAGGCUGGGCAGCUGUUAGUUACUGAGG
rnacentral:lncRNA from 1 species